GACGAACGCUGGCGGCGUGCUUAACACAUGCAAGUCGAACGGAAAGGCCCUGCUUUUGUGGGGUGCUCGAGUGGCGAACGGGUGAGUAACACGUGAGUAACCUGCCCUUUACUUUGGGAUAACUUCAGGAAACUGGGGCUAAUCCCGGAUAGGAGCUCCUGCUGCAUGGUGGGGGUUGGAAAGUUUCGGCGGUUGGGGAUGGACGCGCGGCUUAUCAGCUUGUUGGUGGGGUAGUGGCUUACCAAGGCUUUGACGGGUAGCCGGCCUGAGAGGGUGACCGGCCACAUUGGGAAUGAGAUACGGCGCAGACUCCUACGGGAGGAAGCAGUGGGGAAUAUUGCACAAUGGGCGGAAGCCUGAUGCAGCAACGCCGCGUGCGGGAUGAAGGCCUUAGGGUUGUAAACCGCUUUCGCAUGUGACGAAGCGUGAGUGAAGGUAAUGGGUAAAGAAGCACCGGCUAAAUACGUG
rnacentral:rRNA from 1 species